rnacentral:rRNA from 1 species
GUCCGUGUCCGGAACCCGCAAGGGACCAAGCCGGCCGAAGGCGAGCGCAGUGACUGGGGCG